rnacentral:misc_RNA from 1 species
UUGGAAGUUAAAAAUUGUAACAAAGGUUUCCGUAGGGGAACCUGCGGAAGGAUCAUUACCGAGUGCGGGCUGCCUCCGGGCGCCCAACCUCCCACCCGUGACUACCUAACACUGUUGCUUCGGCGGGGAGCCCCCCAGGGGGCGAGCCGCCGGGGACCACUGAACUUCAUGCCUGAGAGUGAUGCAGUCUGAGCCUGAAUACAAAUCAGUCAAAACUUUCAACAAUGGAUCUCUUGGUUCCGGCAUCGAUGAAGAACGCAGCGAACUGCGAUAAGUAAUGUGAAUUGCAGAAUUCAGUGAAUCAUCGAGUCUUUGAACGCACAUUGCGCCCCCUGGCAUUCCGGGGGGCAUGCCUGUCCGAGCGUCAUUGCUGCCCUCAAGCCCGGCUUGUGUGUUGGGUCGUCGUCCCCCCCCCCGGGGGACGGGCCCGAAAGGCAGCGGCGGCACCGUGUCCGGUCCUCGAGCGUAUGGGGCUUUGUCACCCGCUCGAUUAGGGCCGGCCGGGCGCCAGCCGGCGUCUCCAACCUUAUUUUUCUCAGGUUGACCUCGGAUCAGGUAGGGAUACCCGCUGAACUUAAGCAUAUCAAAUAAGCGGAGGAA